rnacentral:misc_RNA from 1 species
GAUGAAGAACGCAGCGAAAUGCGAUACGUAAUGUGAAUUGCAAAUUCAGUGAAUCAUCGAGUCUUUGAACGCACAUUGCGCCCCCUGGUAUUCCGGGGGGCAUGCCUGUCCGAGCGUCAUUGCUGCCCUCAAGCACGGCUUGUGUGUUGGGCCCCGUCCUCCGAUCCCGGGGGACGGGCCCGAAAGGCAGCGGCGGCACCGCGUCCGGUCCUCGAGCGUAUGGGGCUUUGUCACCCGCUCUGUAGGCCCGGCCGGCGCUUGCCGAUCAACCCAAAUUUUUAUCCAGGUUGACCUCGGAUCAGGUAGGGAUACCCGCUGAACUUAAGCAUAUCAAUAAGCGAGGA